AUUGAACGCUGGCGGCAGGCUUAACACAUGCAAGUCGAACGAGUGGCGGCCGGGAGACUAAUGCUUGGGAAUCUGGCUUAUGGGGGGGGAUAACGACGGGAAACUGUCGCUAAUAACGCAGACCAUAGGAUGAGCCCAAGUGGGCUGAGGUAGUUGGUGGGGUAAAGGCUCACCAAACCGACGAGCUCUAGCUGGUCUGAGAGGAUGACCAGCCACACUGGGACUGGUACACGGCCCAGACUCCUACGGGAGGCAGCAGUGGGGAAUAUUGCGCAAUGGGGGCAACCUGACGCAGCCAUGCCGCGGGAAUGAAGAAGGCCUUGGGGUUGGAAAGUGCUUGCGGUAGCGAGGCGUUAACUACAGAAGAAGCACCGGCUAACUCCGUGCCAGCAGCCGCGGUAAUAC
rnacentral:rRNA from 1 species